rnacentral:rRNA from 1 species
GACGAACCACCCAAACGUUAUUCGGAAUUACUGGGCGUAAAGGGCGCGUAGGCGGCCUGUUAAGUCGAACGUGAAAUCCCCGGGCUCAACCCGGGAACUGCGUCCGAUACUGGCAGGCUUGAAUCCGGGAGAGGGAUGUGGAAUUCCAGGUGUAGCGGUGAAAUGCGUAGAUAUCUGGAGGAACACCGGUGGCGAAGGCGGCAUCCUGGACCGGUAUUGACGCUGAGGCGCGAAAGCCAGGGGAGCAAACGGG